rnacentral:lncRNA from 1 species
GGUGUUGUUCUCUCUUGAAUUGUUUCACCCUAAUGUUUAUUAUAAUUCAUUAGAUAUUAAUUCGGUACUGUAGGGGGCGAUCAAUUGUAUAAGAAGUUGACCUAGAAGAUCAACAUUCUGAUUCCUAAAUCAAUAUAAAUCCAUAAACUUUUUACUUCUUAGUUAGUAAUAUAUUAGGUAGGGUUGAGAAAUUUGGAGCUUAGGAGU